CAGCAGCCGCGGUAAUACAGAGGAUGCAAGCGUUAUCCGGAAUGAUUGGGCGUAAAGCGUCUGUAGGUGGCUUUUCAAGUUCGCCGUCAAAUCCCAGGGCUCAACCCUGGACAGGCGGUGGAAACUACCAAGCUAGAGUACGGUAGGGGCAGAGGGAAUUUCCGGUGGAGCGGUGAAAUGCGUUGAGAUCGAAAAGAACACCAACGACGAAAGCACUCUGCUGGGUCGACACUGACACUGAGAGACGAAAGCUAGGGGAGCAAAUGGGAUUAGAUACCCCAGUAGUCCCUGUCUCUUAUAA
rnacentral:rRNA from 1 species